UGAUCCUUUAUUGAUGUUCAAGAUCAAUUCUUGUUUAUUUAGUAGUUAGAGUUGGAUUCCGUAUAAGUAUCGUUCAAUUGUAUAAAUUUUUUCGUAAAAAAGAAAUUCUUGUAGUUGAUUAUUACUGGAUUAUAAAUUAUGUUCUUUGCGUAUAUUCCAUCCAAAUCCACCGAUUUGCAAAUUUACCCUCCUAAUCUAUGUGAAUUACUGAUUGUUUGUAAUUUAGGCUGAAUCUUAUAGUUCAUUUGUUUGUAAUAAAACUCUUUAUGAGAAUAUAAAGGGUUUAAAAUCUUAUAGUUCAUUUGUCGGAUAUACUUGGCUGCUCUAGAUUAUGCUUAUCUAAGAAGGGAUUACUGCUACAUAUACAUAAUCACAAUAGAGAGAAAUAAGUGAGCAAAAUUUGUAUUUGUUAUACCCCUUUCUCUUGAAUUCAAAGCCCUAAAGUUUGUUUCUUUUUCUUAUGAAAUAGAUUUUAUUUUGUUAUAUAAAACUUAACCUAAAUCCCCUAAAAUUUAGUACAGUUACUAGUUAGAAUGGUUCAAUAUGAAUCCAUGAAUAUGAAUUAGUAAUUUUACCAACAAUUAGUAGUAAUUUUAAGAUUACCAAGGCCUAACCACUCCCAAUAGAUAGCAAAGCACAACAAUUGGAACGUUUAUCAGAUACUGGCCAACGUACCCACCCAUGGAUGUUCGACUUCCUCAUGAAUUGAACGUUUAUCAGGUUAAUUAAUUAGAAUAUGUACACCUCUGUCAUUCUUUGAGUUAUCCUUCUUUUGGAAGUUUUUGAUCUCUUGUUGUGCACAAUAGGAUAUAUUUAAGGAGUUCUACUUAAGUAUAGCGGGAGACGGUUAAUGUGGCAGAAUUCAUUAGGUCACUGUGUUUUGAAAGCAAACUUUCCUAAAAGUAGGGAAGUCAAUUUUUGCCUCCUCCUCCGCCGCCUCAACCGCCUCUCGAAGCCAGAGCCACCCAUGCUGUAAUUGUCAACACUCUCUUGAAGUCUUCAGUUUGAUAUUGAGCAGUUAGAGCGUAGUAAUAAUGAUUAGGAUCAUCUGAGAGAUGUUGAGAAUGUCUAUAUUCCUAAGUCUGGUGCUAGUAAUGCUUUGGAUGCAAUAUAGUAAUAAAUUAGAAACUAUAAUGAAGUGUAUGCAGAAAAAUCUAUACAAGUUGGUUGGAUCCUUAGUAUCAAUGAUAGAAUUCCCUGUUUUCUACUAUGUAUCUUAAGCGCAUUUCUUGCAUCCUGCAAAUAUGGAGCGAAUCAGUCGUAAUCAAUGAUAGAAUUCCCUGUUUUUGUGGUUGUCUUUGAUGCGUGUGUGGUUGGCUUAAAGUCCAAGUCUUGGACUCCAAGAGCACCACUUUGUGAGCUUGUUGUAGCUGGAUCAUUGUCCUUCUCAAUUGCUGUCCUCUCCUUUGUGAUAGACUGAUAGUUGCCUUGCCAUUUGCCUUUUUGUUUUCGGGCUGUCCUUUGCCUGUGUUUUGUAUGGUAAAACAAUUUAGAAUUUUAUCAUUUAGUAUUUGAUUGGGGAAAUUUUUAUAGUUUGAUGGGUCAUAUUCCUAGAAAGUUUUUAACAAUGAAACUGAGAGAGGCAUUUAUAGUACAUAAAUAGUGCAUUUGAUAGAGGUUUAGAUAUUUGAAAUAUGUCUGUCUGGUGGAUGUAAUAAAAUAAUUCUGAAUAACAUUUCCUUCAAAAUGCAGAGGUGAUAACAUCCGCAGAAUUCCACCCUACCCAUUGUAAUACAUUAGCAUAUAGUAGCUCUAAGGGCUCAAUACGGCUUAUUGAUUUGCGGCAAUCAGCCUUGUGCGAUAACCACUCUAAGCUGUUUGAAGAGCAUGAAGCCCCGGGUUCAAGAUCAUUUUUUACUGAGAUCAUUGCUUCAAUUUCAGAUAUUAAAUUUAGGAAGAAUGGGAGACACAUUCUGAGCCGUGAUUACAUGACUCUUAAGAGAACCUUGAAUUUGUUCAAUAAAUGGCACAGACGAAUUCUGACGAGAAAGCAAGUGCUGCUGCUGAAGCUGUUGUUGUUGCUGCUGCUGCUGCUGCUGAAGUUGCUGAAGCUGCUGCUGCCGAAGCAGUUGUUGCUGAUGCUGCAGAGAACCUUGAAUUUGUGAGCUAGUAGUACGUCUAUAACUGCAGUUAUU